rnacentral:rRNA from 1 species
UACGUAGGGGGCAAGCGUUAUCCGGAUUUACUGGGUGUAAAGGGAGCGUAGACGGCUUUGCAAGCCAGAUGUGAAAGCCCGGGGCUCAACCCCGGGACCGCAUUUGGAACUGUGUGGCUAGAGUGUCGGAGAGGCAGGCGGAAUUCCUAGUGUAGCGGUGAAAUGCGUAGAUAUUAGGAGGAACACCAGUGGCGAAGGCGGCCUGCUGGACGAUGACUGACGUUGAGGCUCGAAAGCGUGGGGAGCAAACAGG